GACAGAGGCCUCAAGCGUUAGGCGGAAUCACUGGGCUUAAAGCGUGUGUAGGCGGAUCGUUAAGUGUCUUGUGAAAUCCCCACGGCUCACCCGUGGAACGGCUGGGCAUACUGGCGAUCUUGGGCCAACUAGGGGCAACUGGAACAAGCGGUGGAGCGGUGAAAUGCGUAGAUAUCGCUUGGAACGCCAAAGGGUGAAAACAGGUUGCUGGGGUUG
rnacentral:rRNA from 1 species